CCUCAGAGCGGUGGCUAACACAUCUUAACAAAUAAACAAAAACAAAACAUGGUUCACAUUUGGGAAAACACAAAUGGCUUCACCAGGAGGAGGGAAAGGGAUUAGUAUUUUUGAAGGCAGAUGUUCAGCCCAGCCAAUCAAGCAUCAAUCAAUUUACCACUCUACUUGGGUACUUGUAUCCUACAACGGAUCAGUAGAGACGGCUGAGGGAUUUUACAGGCAUGCUGGGAACAUGAGCGAAGACAGAACUAGAGGUUUGGGUAGUUAAUACCCAGGCGAAGGAGAUGGGAAUGUAUGGAAGGGAGUUUAGCCCAACGGUAACUAUUCCUGUAAAUCCACCAUGGCUACUCCCACCUCCAGUAGUAGAUCUAGAAGUAUUGGAGAGACUACAGAAAGAUAGGGAGGGUGUUGAUCCAUCUGAUUUGUUUAAGAGAAGUCUUGAUGCUGUGUAUCAAGAUGUUGUGGCCAUAUACACAGAUGGUUCAACAGAUCCAAGGACAGGACAUACUGGGUCAGCAUAUGUAGUGCAGGAAUGUGGGUUGAAAGUCCGAUCAUCUGGCUGUAUACACGGCAGAGAUGGUGGCCAUAUUGUUGGCCUUGCUGUGGGUGGAGGAAGUUAAGCCAGAAAGAGUAGUUCUUUGCUCUGAUUCAUGUGCAGUGUUAAGAAAUCUCCAGUCCUUUAUAUCAAGACAAGACCUGCUUUAUGAGGUGCUACAAACCCAUGGCAGGAGUAAACAAAUGGAUAUACAGCUAAUAUUUACAUGGGUCCCAGCUUAUGUGGGAGUGCAGUUGAUAUACUGGCUAAACAAGCACUAAGUAGUGGGGAUGUUGAUGUGGUAGUUUCAAUGAGCAAGGCAGAAGCAAAAAGUGAUGGUGGAGAAAUGGCAAGAACAGUGGAAUAGAGAUACUAAGGGGAGGCAUUUAUUUCAAGUACAGAGGAAAGUUGGGGAGGGGAGAACGGCAGGAAGAGACAGAAGAGAGGCUAUAUUUACAAGAUUAAUAGUGGGACACAGCCAGUUGAAUAAGACCUUACAUGUGAUAGGAAAGCAUCCAACAGGAAAAGUUGAGUAUUGCCAGGAAACAGACAGUGGUGCAUGUAUUGCUACAGUGUGGACAUUGGAGGGAAAGAGGGAGGAUGAGAUCUAGAAGGGGGGAUACAGGAAUUAGUUUAAAUAGUAUAUUGAGUAGAAAGAGCAACGGGGCUGGCAGGUAGGAUUUAGUUUCUCCCUGUCUCUGACCCACACUCCACUACAGUAGGUGUCGGUAAUGCACCAUAACGUUGGAUGCCAACCGCCGAUAAACCCCACCCUAGAAGAAGUAGAGCUGGCGGGAUGAUUUUCAACUGCUGUAUUAAUGUGGGGAAUCUGUAAGUAUUCUGUCAAAUCGCAUGUUGGUGAAGCAAGGUAGGUUUAUGGAGUCCAGGUGAGUAGGGUAUAAAAUGUAUUUAAACAUGUCAGCAUCAUGUCUUUUUUUAGUGUCUUUGAUGUUAUUGUUUUUCUGGGUGGAAAAGGUUUGUAAAAUAUCAUUGUGGUUGGGGGUUAAUGCCUAAAAUAUAGUAAGUAUAAGUGGUCUCAUCUCUUUGGGAACAAUAGCACAGUAAGUUUUUGAUGAAACUUGCAUGUGUUUUGAUUAAGUUGAUCACAUAGUCCUCACAGUCCUGUCACACAAUUGUUAAUAAUGGAAUUUUCUCUGAAUUACUUUUUUUUGUAACAAACAUUCUAUCACAGGUGCAGAAUGCAGUGUCCAGUGGGCUAACUGGCAUAGCCUGCACAGAUGAGCAGCGACAAUGGAAUGCAGGGACUCGGAGGAACCUUGAGCCAAAGCGGUUAAACAGCAUUGACUUCACACACUAUAAGGCCAGUGACCAAUAUGCAGAAAAGUGUACCCUGCUUCCCACUCCUUCAUUCUACUCAUAGGAGGAAUUGAAUAGGAGCCUGAGACACCUGAAUCUGCCUGUGGGGAGUCUGCUCUAUAAGUGUGUUAAUGCUGAACCAACAGUAACGUCACAGCCAGUAGCAUCCCAGAAGAUCCAUGGGAAGAAGUUUGCGGUGGUUGUUGACAAGACAACAGAUGCAAGGGAUUGCAGCAUUCUAAACAUUGUCAUUGGUGUACUUUCUGGUGGAUGUCAUUUUCAUGGACAGAUGUAACUACUGCACGUUUUCCCAAGCUAUACUAGCCUCCCUCCACAGCAACGAUCUGAACCUGAAUGAUGCCUGAGCAGUGGUCACAGAUAAUGCCUCCUACUGCCUGAAGGCAUACAAGGAGGUUCUGAAAGGAGUGAUGCCCAACAGUGUACAUGUAACCUGUCUCUGCCAUGUCAUCAAUCUGGUGGGUGAGACCUGGCAGCACUACAAAUAUGUCUCUUAAGUUGGAUCACUUGUGACAUGGAUGACAUCUGUCUUCUUCAAGAAGCCUGCCAGAAAGAGAAGAUGGGUGAUGACAGCUCUGUCACUCCUGAAAACAACCCACCAUCCCACAGAAGUGUCUGCAUACAAUGCCAUGGAGGAUCUGGGCUCUUACCUAGUGAAUGGAACAGCAAAAACAUGUGUGUAUGGUGCCAAGACAGAUGAGCUAUUGAGAAAGAUGGGGAUUGGAGAGAGGUGCUUGACCGUCUCCAUGAUGCAUUCCAUUUGGCCUUCAAAGUUGUCAAAGCACUAGGACACACAUCCAGCCAGGGAGGUCUACAGGCUGGCUAGGGUGUUUGUUCCUAGGCAGGCUCCAGCCAUGGAAAAGUAGAUUGAAAGCUUGUCACGAGAAGUUUCAAUCCCAAUGACAAUAACAAUCAAUAUCUUUGACCAAUCCCUGAGGUUUGUAAGACCAUGGGUUUAAUAAUAAUUAGUCAAAGACUCAGCGUAUGCAAAAGGUCAGUACAGU